rnacentral:rRNA from 1 species
GACGAACGCUGGCGGCGUGCUUAACACAUGCAAGUCGAACGGGAAGGCCCUACGGAAACGGUCUGCUCGAGUGGCUAACUUGUAAUUAACAAGGGAGUAGCAUGCCCUUGACAUUGGGAUAACUUCAGGAAACUGAGGGUAAUACCGGAUAGUAACUCCUGCUGAAUGGUAGAGGAUGGAAAGUUUCGGCGGUAGGGGAUGGGCUCGCGGCAGAUCAGCUUGUUUGUGGGGAAGUGGCUUACCAAGGCUUGGACGCGUAGCCGGCCUGAGAGGGUCAGCGGCCACAUUGGGACUGAGAUGCGGCACAGACUCCAACGGGAGGCAGCAGUGGAGAAUAGUGCACAAUGGGCGGAAGCCUGAUGCAGCGACGCCGCGUGCGGGAUGACGGCCUUCGGGUUGGUAUCCGCUUUCGCCUGUGAAGAAGAGAGAGUGACGGUAAUUGGUAAAGAAGCACCGGCUAACUACGUG